GUCGAGCGGUAGCACAGAGAGCUUGCUCUCGGGUGACGAGCGGCGGACGGGUGAGUAAUGUCUGGGAAACUGCCUGAUGGAGGGGGAUAACUACUGGAAACGGUAGCUAAUACCGCAUAACGUCGCAAGACCAAAGUGGGGGACCUUCGGGCCUCAUGCCAUCAGAUGUGCCCAGAUGGGAUUAGCUAGUAGGUGGGGUAACGGCUCACCUAGGCGACGAUCCCUAGCUGGUCUGAGAGGAUGACCAGCCACACUGGAACUGAGACACGGUCCAGACUCCUACGGGAGGCAGCAGUGGGGAAUAUUGCACAAUGGGCGCAAGCCUGAUGCAGCCAUGCCGCGUGUGUGAAGAAGGCCUUCGGGUUGUAAAGCACUUUCAGCGGGGAGGAAGGCGGUGAGGUUAAUAACCUUGUCGAUUGACGUUACCCGCAGAAGAAGCACCGGCUAACUCCGUGCCAGCAGCCGCGGUAAUACGGAGGGUGCAAGCGUUAAUCGGAAUUACUGGGCGUAAAGCGCACGCAGGCGGUCUGUCAAGUCGGAUGUGAAAUCCCCGGGCUCAACCUGGGAACUGCAUUCGAAACUGGCAGGCUAGAGUCUUGUAGAGGGGGGUAGAAUUCCAGGUGUAGCGGUGAAAUGCGUAGAGAUCUGGAGGAAUACCGGUGGCGAAGGCGGCCCCCUGGACAAAGACUGACGCUCAGGUGCGAAAGCGUGGGGAGCAAACAGGAUUAGAUACCCUGGUAGUCCACGCCGUAAACGAUGUCGAUUUGGAGGUUGUGCCCUUGAGGCGUGGCUUCCGGAGCUAACGCGUUAAAUCGACCGCCUGGGGAGUACGGCCGCAAGGUUAAAACUCAAAUGAAUUGACGGGGGCCCGCACAAGCGGUGGAGCAUGUGGUUUAAUUCGAUGCAACGCGAAGAACCUUACCUGGUCUUGACAUCCACAGAACUUUCCAGAGAUGGAUUGGUGCCUUCGGGAACUGUGAGACAGGUGCUGCAUGGCUGUCGUCAGCUCGUGUUGUGAAAUGUUGGGUUAAGUCCCGCAACGAGCGCAACCCUUAUCCUUUGUUGCCAGCGGUUCGGCCGGGAACUCAAAGGAGACUGCCAGUGAUAAACUGGAGGAAGGUGGGGAUGACGUCAAGUCAUCAUGGCCCUUACGACCAGGGCUACACACGUGCUACAAUGGCAUAUACAAAGAGAAGCGACCUCGCGAGAGCAAGCGGACCUCAUAAAGUAUGUCGUAGUCCGGAUUGGAGUCUGCAACUCGACUCCAUGAAGUCGGAAUCGCUAGUAAUCGUAGAUCAGAAUGCUACGGUGAAUACGUUCCCGGGCCUUGUACACACCGCCC
rnacentral:rRNA from 1 species